AUUGAACGCUGGCGGCAGGCCUAACACAUGCAAGUCGAGCGGGGUUUUCGGACCUAGCGGCGGACGGGUGAGUAAUGCGUAGGAAGCUACCCGAUAGAGGGGGAUACCAGUUGGAAACGACUGUUAAUACCGCAUAAUGUCUACGGACCAAAGUGUGGGACCUUCGGGCCACAUGCUAUCGGAUGCGCCUACGUGGGAUUAGCUAGUUGGUGAGGUAAUGGCUCACCAAGGCGACGAUCUCUAGCUGGUUUGAGAGGAUGAUCAGCCACACUGGAACUGAGACACGGUCCAGACUCCUACGGGAGGCAGCAGUGGGGAAUAUUGGACAAUGGGCGAAAGCCUGAUCCAGCCAUGCCGCGUGUGUGGAGAAGGCCUUCGGGUUGUAAAGCACUUUCAGUGGGGAGGAAGCGUUGAGUGUUAAUAGUACUCAGUGUUGACGUUACCUACAGAAGAAGCACCGGCUAACUCUGUGCCAGCAGCCGCCGUAAUAC
rnacentral:rRNA from 1 species